rnacentral:rRNA from 1 species
CCUACGGGUGGCAGCAGUAGGGAAUCUUUCACAAUGGGCGAAAGCCUGAUGGAGCAACGCCGCGUGCAGGAUGAAGGCCUUCGGGUUGUAAACUGCUUUUAUAAGCGAGAAAUAUGAUGGUAACUUAUGAAUAAGGAUCGGCUAACUACGUGCCAGCAGCCGCGGUCAUACGUAGGAUCCGAGCAUUAUCCGGAGUGACUGGGUGUAAAGAGUUGCGUAGGUGGCAUAAUAAGUAGCUAGUGAAAUCUGGUGGCUCAACCAUUCAGACUAUUAGCUAAACUGUUAAGCUCGAGACCGUUAGGGGUAACUGGAAUUUCUAGUGUAGGAGUGAAAUCCGUAGAUAUUAGAAGGAACACCAAUAGCGUAGGCAGGUUGCUGGGACGGUUCUGACACUAAGGCACGAAAGCGUAGGGAGCAAACGGGAUUAGAUACCCCUGUGUC